rnacentral:rRNA from 1 species
UACGUAGGUGACAAGCGUUGUCCGGAUUUACUGGGCGUAAAGAGCGCGCAGGCGGUCGUUCAAGUCGAGUGUGAAAGCCCCCGGCUCAACUGGGGAGGGUCACUCGAUACUGAUCGACUCGAAGGCAGGAGAGGGAAGUGGAAUUCCCGGUGUAGUGGUGAAAUGCGUAGAUAUCAGGAGGAACACCGGUGGCGAAGGCGGUUCUCUGGGCAUUACCUGACGCUGAGGAGCGAAAGCGUGGGGAGCAAACAGG